AUUGAACGCUGGCGGCAGGCCUAACACAUGCAAGUCGAACGGUAACAGGAAGCAGCUUGCUGCUUCGCUGACGAGUGGCGGACGGGUGAGAAAUGUCUGGGAAACUGCCUGAUGGAGGGGGAUAACUACUGGAAACGGUAGCUAAUACCGCAUAACGUCGCAAGCCCAAAGAGGGGGACCUUAGGGCCUCUUGCCAUCGGAUGUGACCAGAUGGGAUUAGCUAGUAGGUGGGGUAACGGCUCACCUAGGCGACGAUCCCUAGCUGGUCUGAGAGGAUGACCAGCCACACUGGAACUGAGACACGGUCCAGACUCCUACGGGAGGCAGCAGUGGGGAAUAUUGCACAAUGGGCGCAAGCCUGAUGCAGCCAUGCCGCGUGUAUGAAGAAGGCCUUCGGGUUGUAAAGUACUUUCAGCGGGGAGGAAGGGAGUAAAGUUAAUACCUUUGCUCAUUGACGUUACCCGCAGAAGAAGCACCGGCUAACUCCGUG
rnacentral:rRNA from 1 species